AGAACGAACGCUGGCGGCAGGCCUAACACAUGCAAGUCGAACGCGACCUUCGGGUCGAGUGGCGCACGGGUGAGUAACGCGUGGGAAUCUGCCCUGUGGUACGGAAUAACAUCGGGAAACUGGUGCUAAUACCGUAUAUCCCCUGAGGGGGAAAGAUUUAUCGCCAUGGGAGGAGCCCGCGUAGGAUUAGCUAGUUGGUGAGGUAACGGCUCACCAAGGCGACGAUCCUUAGCUGGUCUGAGAGGAUGAUCAGCCACACUGGGACUGAGAUACGGCCCAGACUCCUACGGGAGGCAGCAGUGGGGAAUAUUGGACAAUGGGGGGAAACCCUGAUCCAGCCAUGCCGCGUGUGUGAUGAAGGCCUUCGGGUUGUAAAGCACUUUCGCACGUGACGAUGAUGACGGUAACGUGAGAAGAACGCCCGGCUAACUUCGUGCCAGCAGCCGC
rnacentral:rRNA from 1 species